CCUACGGGAGGCAGCAGUGAGGAAUAUUGGUCAAUGGGCGGGAGCCUGAACCAGCCAAGCCGCGUGAGGGAAGAAGGUACAGCGUAUCGUAAACCUCUUUUGUCAGGGAACAAAGUCGGGGACUAGUCCCCGUAUGAGGGUACCUGAAGAAAAAGCAUCGGCUAACUCCGUGCCAGCAGCCGCGGUAAUACGGAGGAUGCGAGCGUUAUCCGGAUUUAUUGGGUUUAAAGGGUGCGCAGGCGGCCUGUUAAGUCAGCGGUAAAAGCCCGGGGCUCAACCCCGGCGAGCCGUUGAAACUGGCGGGCUGGAGUUGGAGAGAAGUAGGCGGAAUGCGGGGUGUAGCGGUGAAAUGCUUAGAUAUCGCGCAGAACCCCGAUUGCGAAGGCAGCGUACCGGCUCCACACUGACGCUGAGGCACGAAAGCGUGGGUAUCGAACAGGAGUAGAUACCCCAGUAGUC
rnacentral:rRNA from 1 species